rnacentral:rRNA from 1 species
ACGCAGUCUCUACUCAAGUCUAAAUGACUCUCGGCAACGGAUAUCUCGGCUCUUGCAUCGAUGAAGAACGUAGCGAAAUGCGAUGCUUGGUGUGAAUUGCAGAAUCCCGCGAACCAUCAAUUCUUUGAACGCAAGUUGCGCCCGAAGCCAUUCGGCCGAGGGCACGCCUGCCUGGGCGU